GACAGAGGCCUCGAGCGUUAGGCGGAAUCACUGGGCUUAAAGCGUGUGUAGGCGGGCCCGUAAGUGUCUUGUGAAAUCCCACGACUCAACCGUGGAACUGCUGGGCAUACUGCGGGUCUUGGGCCAACUAGGGGCAGCCGGAACAAGCGGUGGAGCGGUGAAAUGCGUAGAUAUCGCUUGGAACGCCGAAGGUGAAAACAGGCUGCUGGGGUUGCGCCGACGCUGAGACACGAAAGCCAGGGGAGCAAACGGG
rnacentral:rRNA from 1 species